CCCAAGUGAUCUUAACUGAGAAAAACCUUUCACACACACACACACACACACACAUACAAAGCGCCUGGGGGGCACUGCGACAAAACCUGACCGCUAGCCAGGUGGAGGCCUCCGAGGCCGAGUGCCGUGUCGCGCCGUGCCUGGGAGUGCAGGUGGCUCUGGCUCCCAAGUGGAAGAGUAGUCCGAAGAGUGGCCUAUCCUGUGGCUUUGUCUGGGGUUUGGUGAUGACAAAAAUUAAUGAAUAUCGACAACAGGAGGAGAAAGAGGUGGACCGCAGGCUGAGGAACUGAGGCACUGAGGCUAGGCGAAAGACAAACAAAGGAGGGCCCAAUCCGGGAGACAAUUCAAUCUUCAAUUCCCAAUGCAAGCCUGCAUGCAGUCGCACCUUUGGAAUUUAAUUUGAUUUGUUUACAAUAUAAUAGGUCGAAAGAAGGAAACAAAUCUCGUUGAAUGGAUGAAUGGAUGGAUGGAAAGAAAGAAGGAAAAGAGCAUAUUAAUCAUUUUCCACACAGCGGGAAAGUCAGUCAUGGAAAAUCAAAGAGACGCAAUCGCAAUCAGUGACAAUGAUUAACACAUUUCCAUGGACCAUAAAACGAAACGUCUCUAGCAAAUUGUUUUUAAUGCACAUGGCAUACAUCCAUAUGAACACGGAAAAUUAUUUAGAGACCAACACUAAUCUCUAAACGACGGGCCUGCCUGCAAAAUAGAGAGUUCAAUGUACGGACAGUCGAACACGGACAACGGGCAGCUGACAGUAGAGCGAACGGACAGAGAACGAACAGCAGGAAACGAGCAGGGAACGGUAGCAAGCGGAACAUCGGACAUAAGCAAAGAGGCAUUUUGGCGGCACACCUCCUCUUCCAGUCAUCCGCCAUUCCUCCAGUUAUGGGUGGAUGGGUGGUGCCACGGGAAGGGGCUUGGUCAAAGAAUUGCAUGCUAAAACAAAGGAAAGACCGAAACCUACAAAAAAGAAAGGUGCGCUCACCUACAGUGCCAGCCGAAGCAUGGAAUACCCUUUGAAAAGCCAUGUUAAAAUAUUUUUGACUAAUUCUGAAAGUAAAUUCAAGUAUU